CCUACGGGGGGCAGCAGUGGGGAAUAUUGCACAAUGGGGGAAACCCUGAUGCAGCAACGCCGCGUGAGUGAAGAAGUAUUUCGGUAUGUAAAGCUCUAUCAGCAGGGAAGAGAAUGACGGUACCUGACUAAGAAGCCCCGGCUAACUACGUGCCAGCAGCCGCGGUAAUACGUAGGGGGCGAGCGUUAUCCGGAUUUACUGGGUGUAAAGGGAGCGUAGACGGUUCUGCAAGUCUGAAGUGAAAGCCCGUGGCUUAACCGCGGAACGGCUUUGGAAACUGUGGAACUGGAGUGCUGGAGAGGAAAGCGGAAUUCCUAGUGUAGCGGUGAAAUCCGUAGAUAUCUGGAGGAACAUCAGUGGCGAAGGCGACUAUCUGGCACAUAACUGACGCUGAGGAGCGAAAGCGUGGGUAGCAAACAGGAUUAGAUACCCUAGUAGUC
rnacentral:rRNA from 1 species